UACAGAGGCCCCAAGCGUUACUGAGAAUCACUGGGUUUAAAGGGUGCGUAGGUGGUCCGUUAAGUUCGUUGUGAAAGCCCUGGGCUCAACCCAGGAACUGCUUCGAAUACUGGCGGACUUGAGGCUAGUAGAGGUCACUGGAACUGACGGUGGAGCGGUGAAAUGCGUAGAUAUCGUCGAGGAACGCCAAUGGUGAAGACAGGUGACUGGGCUAGUUCUGACACUGAGGCACG
rnacentral:rRNA from 1 species